ACGGGUGAGUAAUGCCUAGGAAAUUGCCUUGAUGUGGGGGAUAACCAUUGGAAACGAUGGCUAAUACCGCAUAAUGCCUACGGGCCAAAGAGGGGGAUCUUCGGACCUCUCGCGUCAAGAUAUGCCUAGGUGGGAUUAGCUAGUUGGUGAGGUAAUGGCUCACCAAGGCGACGAUCCCUAGCUGGUCUGAGAGGAUGAUCAGC
rnacentral:rRNA from 1 species